rnacentral:rRNA from 1 species
AUUGAACGCUGGCGGCAGGCUUAACACAUGCAAGUCGAGCGGGGGAAGGUAGCUUGCUACUGGACCUAGCGGCGGACGGGUGAGUAAUGCUUAGGAAUCUGCCUAUUAGUGGGGGACAACAUCUCGAAAGGGAUGCUAAUACCGCAUACGUCCUACGGGAGAAAGCAGGGGAUCUUCGGACCUUGCGCUAAUAGAUGAGCCUAAGUCGGAUUAGCUGGUUGGUGGGGUAAAGGCCUACCAAGGCGACGAUCUGUAGCGGGUCUGAGAGGAUGAUCCGCCACACUGGGAUUGAGACACGGCCCAGAAUCCUACGGGAGGCAGCAGUGGGGAAUAUUGGACAAUGGGGGGAACCCUGAUCCAGCCAUGCCGCGUGUGUCAAGAAGGCCUUAUGGUUGUAAAGCACUUUAAGCGAGGAGGAGGCUACUCUAGUUAAUACCUAGGGAUAGUGGACGUUACUCGCAGAAUAAGCACCGGCUAACUCUGUGCCAGCCGCCGCGGUAA